rnacentral:rRNA from 1 species
UACGGGGGGGGGCAAGCGUUUGUUCGGAAUUACUGGGCGUAAAGGGCUCGUAGGCGGCCAACUAAGUCAGACGUGAAAUCCCUAGGCUCAACCUAGGAACUGCGUCUGAUACUGGAUGGCUUGAAGUCCGGGAGAGGGAGUGCAGAAUUCCAGGUGUAGCGGUGAAAUGCGUAGAUAUCUGGAGGAAUACCGGUGGCCGAAGGCGGCAUCCUCGGACCGGCAUUGACGCUGAGGAGCGGAAAGCUAGGGGAGCAAACAGGG